rnacentral:rRNA from 1 species
CAUGGUUGUCGUCAGCUCGUGUCGUAAGAUGUUGGGUUAAGUCCCGCAACGAGCGCAACCCUUAUUACUAGUUGCCAUCAUUAAGUUGGGCACUCUAGUGAGACUGCCGGUGAUAAACCGGAGGAAGGUGGGGAUGACGUCAAAUCAUCAUGCCCCUUAUGACCUGGGCCACACACGUGCUACAAUGGAUGGUACAACGAGUCGCCAACCCGCGAGGGUGCGCUAAUCUCUUAAAACCAUUCUCAGUUCGGAUUGCAGGCUGCAACUCGCCUGCAUGAAGUCGGAAUCGCUAGUAAUCGCGGAUCAGCACGCCGCGGUGAAUACAUUCCCGGGCCUUGUACACACCGCCCGUCACACCACGGAAGUUGGGAGUACCCAAAGUAGGUUGCCUAACCGCAAGGAGGGCGCUUCCUAAGGUAAGACCGAUGACUGGGGUGAAGUCGUAACAAGGUAGCCGUAUCGGAAGGUGCGGCUGGAUCACCUCCUUCUAGACUGCAGAA